AAAGAAUCAUGUAACUGGCGGAAAUGGAGUUAACCAUGGGGAACAUGAUUCUAGGCAUAUUCAAAAAAUAACCAGUCAGUAUACUAGUCUAUUUUGCGUCAUACUGCGUCAACAGAACCUUCUGAUAGCCCACUAUCAUCAGAACCUGUUUCCUUGUAUUACACAAAAUAUACCUCGUAUCUUUGCCUUUUAUUUAUUUUCAUAUGCCUAAGAAAAAUAUCGACCGUCUGGGUAAGUUCA
rnacentral:ncRNA from 17 species